rnacentral:tRNA from 1 species
GGGGUUGUGGCUCAGAGGUAGAGCACUCACCUAGCAUGUGUGAGCCACUGGGUUCAAUCCUCAGCACCA